UACGGGGGGGGCAAGCGUUGUUCGGAAUUACUGGGCGUAAAGGGCCAGGAGGCGGCCAACUAAGUCGGAUGUGAAAUCCCCAGGCUUAACCUGGGAACUGCAUCCGAUACUGGAUGGCUUGAAUUCGGGAGAGGGAUGCAGAAUUCCAGGUGUAGCGGUGAAAUGCGUAGAUAUCUGGAGGAAUACCGGUGGCGAAGGCGGCAUCCUGGACCGACAUUGACGCUGAACGGCGAAAGCUAGGGGAGCAAACGGG
rnacentral:rRNA from 1 species